UGCAAGUCGAACGAAGUAGCAAUACUUAGUGGCAGACGGGUGAGUAACAUGUAGGUAUCUACCCUUUGGCCUGGAAUAACACGAGGAAACUUGUGCUAAUACCGGAUAAGUCUUUACGGAGAAGGCUUUAUGCACCAUUGGAUGAGCCUGCACUUGAUUAGUUUGUUGGUGGGGUAAUGGCCUACCAAGACUUUGAUCAAUAGCUGAUUUGAGAGGAUGAUCAGCCACAUUGGGACUGAGACACGGCCCAAACUCCUACGGGAGGCAGCAGUAGGGAAUCUUGCACAAUGGAGGAAACUCUGAUGCAGCGAUGCCGCGUGAGUGAAGAAGGCCUUUGGGUUGUAAAGCUCUUUCGUCGGGGAAGAAAAUGACUGUACCCGAAUAAGAAGGUCCGGCUAACUUCGUGCCAGCAGCCGCGGUAAUACGAAGGGACCUAGCGUAGUUCGGAAUUACUGGGCUUAAAGAGUUCGUAGGUGGUUGAAAAAGUUGGUGGUGAAAUCCCAGAGCUUAACUCUGGAACUGCCAUCAAAACUUUUCAGCUAGAGUUUGAUAGAGGAAAGCAGAUUUCUAGUG
rnacentral:rRNA from 1 species